AUUAUCUUGUACAUUAUCAAAUAAUCUUCUCUUUUAUAGUUUUCCUUUACUAGAGUCUUGUAGAUCCUUCCUCUCAUACUCAACCACCCUUACCACCCUUUCCCCUGUUUGGUAUCAGAGGUGCCGGUGUAACGAAUUUCUAGAAAAAUAAUAACGUAAUAUUCAUUAUCAAGAAAGAAGAAAUAGUGCAAGUGAUCGGGGAAAAGAGAAAGUUAUCGACUAAAUUACAAAAAUAGUCGUUUUGCAUCCGAGUGAUUUGAACUUGAUCGAAUUGGGGAUCGUCGGAGCUCGUAUCACACUAUCAUAAUCAUCUCGGUAUUAUGUGCUUUUCAAAAUGUUUAAACUAUGGCAUGUAUAGAGUCUUGAUCAUUUUGAGCAUGUUCAAAUGAUAUGGCUAAUAUUAGCUAUUGAAGUAGCUAUUAAAGAAUAUGUUUUGGUGUUAUAUAUGUUAAAAUGGUAACUAAUUCAAAGAAGCAGUUUCUUAGACAGCAGCAAUGACGUGAAGGUGAAAAAUCACCAUAAAUAGUAAAAAUGAAAUUAGAGAGUGAAUUAUAUAUAGAAUUAAAGCUUAUCAAGUCUAUUUUUAUAUGAAAGAAACGGUGUAGGCAAAGGAAUUCUUUAUUUUGAGAUAUUUGAAUUUUAGUGAGACAGGGUCAGAAUGGUUUUUGAAGUCCCCUGUUCUGAUUUUGGAAAUCAU